rnacentral:rRNA from 1 species
UACAGAGACUGCAAGCGUUAUUCGGAUUCACUGGGCGUAAAGGGUGCGCAGGCGGCCAAGUGUGUGAGGCGUGAAAGCCUGGAGCUUAACUCCAGAAUUGCACCUCAAACUACAUGGCUAGAGCAUUGGAGAGGGUAGCGGAAUUCACGGUGUAGCAGUGAAAUGCGUAGAUAUCGAGAGGAACACCAGAGGCGAAAGCGAAUCACUGGACAGAAUCUGACGCUGAGGCACGAAAGCUAGGGGAGCAAACGGG